rnacentral:rRNA from 2 species
GUGCUAGUACAUGCAGUCGAACGAGCUUCUCGUAUGUAUAGUAUGGGGGCUUGCACCGAAAUUCAACAUGAAACGAGGGGCGGACGGGUGAUUAACACGUGGGUAACCUGCCCUUAACUGGGGGAUAACAUUUGGAAACAGAUGCUAAUACCGCAAAGAUCCUGGAACCGCAGGGUUCUUGGCUGAAAAAUGGUUCAAGCUAUCGCUUUUGGAUGGACCCGCGGCGUAUUACCUAGUUGGGGAGGUAAUGGCUCACCAGGGCGAGGAUACGUACCCAAACUGAAAGGUUGACCGGCCACUUUGGGACGGAAACACGGCCCAAACUCCUACGGAAGGCACCAUUAGGGAACCUUCCACAAGGGACGCAAGUCUGAGGGAGCAACGCCCCGGGAGUGAAAAAGGCUUUCGGUCCGUAAAACUCUGUUGUUGGAGAAAAAUGGUCGGCAGAGUAACUGUUGUCGGCGUGACGGUAUCCAACCAGAAAGCCACGGCUAACUACUUGCCAGCAGCCGCGGUAAUACGUAGGUGGCAAGCGUUAUCCGGAUUUAUUGGGCGUAAAGCGAGCGCAGGCGGUUUUUUAAGUCUGAUGUGAAACCCUUCGGCUUAACCGAGGAAGCGCAUCGAAAACUGGAAAACUUGAGUGCAAAAAAGGACAGUGAAACUCCAUGUGUACCGUUGAAAUGCGUAAAUAUAUGGAAAAAACACCAGUGGCGAAGGCGGCUGUCUGUUCUGUAACUGACCCUGAAGGCUCGAAAGCAUGGUGUAGCAAACAAGAUUAAGAUACCCUGUUAGUCCAUGGCGUAAACAAUGAUUGCUAGCGUGUUGAAGGGUU